UUAGGAGACAAUGUGACUUGUCUGUUGAGUGAGACAAAGAUAAGGCAGUAAGUCUUUGAAAACAGCAAACCAUUUUUGCACUAGCAGAAGCAGACUUCCUCUCUCUCAAGCGUGAAAGAAGCUGAGACAUGAAGUCAAAAAGCAGACAGGGUGAUCUUUCUUGCAGGGAGCCUGAUUCCACAGACAUAUUGGAACGACUCUUCCUGUGGGAGACUGAAUUUCUGGCCUGAUUUCUCCAUCCUUCACUGUAGUUAUGACCUUGAAGAACUUCACACUGCAGAUGCCAUCUACUGAAAUGGAGAAUAUAGGACUACAGAAAGAAGAAUUAUCAUAUUAGGAGGGAAGACAAGUGAGUUGAUUUUGAAUAUGUUAAACUCGAUUAUUGGAGAUAAUUUUGGGAAUUGAAUAAAUUAUAAGAUAUAAACAUAAUACUUAAAAAUUCAAAGUAUGAUAUAGAAAAAAGAUUUAGACUUGAGGGUUGGGCAUACGUAAAUGGAUUCGAAACCACAACCUCUUAAGUAGUCAUCUUGUUUCAACUGUUCUCUUGUCACAAUCACUACCUACGUAGCAAAU